UACGUAGGGAGCAAGCGUUGUCCGGAAUCAUUGGGCGUAAAGCGCGCGUAGGUGGCCUCGUAAGUCCGCUGUAAAAGCAAAGGCUCAACCUUUGAAAGCCGGUGGAUACUGCGGGGCUAAGAGUACGGAAGAGGCGAGUGGAAUUCCUGGUGUAGCGGUGGAAUGCGCAGAUAGUCAAGAGGACACCAAUAGCGAAGGCAGACUCGCUGGGACGUUAGCUGACACUGAGGCGCGAAAGCGUGGGGAGCGAACAGGA
rnacentral:rRNA from 1 species